UGCGUAGGCGGCGUCGUAAGUCAGAAGUGGAAGCUCACAGCUUAACUGUGAAAUUGCUUUUGAUACUGCGGUGCUUGAAUUAGGUUGAGGUUAGCGGAAUGUGACAUGUAGCGGUGAAAUGCAUAGAUAUGUCAUAGAACACCAAUUGCGAAGGCAGCUGGCUAGGCCUAUAUUGACGCUCAGGCACGAAAGCGUGGGGAGCGAACAGGAUUAGAUACCCUGGUAGUCC
rnacentral:rRNA from 1 species